UAAUCUCCUCCCGGACAAUGUCCCACUCUUCCUCAUCAGCCCAAACCGGGUCCCACCCGGGGUUGGUCAUCUCCAACGGAGCGUCCCCCCAUAACUCCUUCAAGUCCUCCUCCCUCCAAUUCUCCGGGUCCUCUGGAAAAUCGAAAAGGUCCUCAUAAAAGACAUAGCUUUCGUCCUCCUCGUCCUGCCUUCUCCUCACUCUCUUCCCCUGGAGCACCUGAGAGAAGAGCUUCAUGUUCACCUCGGGUGUAUUAUCGGCCUCGGGAAUAUCUUCACCGGGUCGGAUGUACUUGAGUGAAUCAUCCGCUUCACCGCCAUCUGGGCCGCCACCACCUCCAUCUCCUUCGUACUCGGACGACUCGUCGGAGUCGUACUCAGACUCUGAGUCGUCGUCGGAGGAGAGAUUUGCUUUUUCCUCAUCUGGGUCGGAAUUCGAGUCGGAUUUUUGGUUCUUGAGUUGGGAUUCAGUGGGUUUGGGCGAGUCUUGGUCCGGCAUUGUUGGGGGAGUCUGGGGAAGAAGAAGAAGAUAAGGUAGAGAAGCAGCUGCAGAGACAAAGAGGGUUUUUGCAGUUUGGUGUUCUUUACACAUUAAAAUUAAAAAACAAAAAAACAAAAAACAAAAGCAAAAAAACAAAAAAUAAAUUAAAUCUUAGCCCAUGUCUUCAAUUUGGGCCUGGGUUACUCAAUUGAAGACCAAAUAAACUGAAAAUUUUCACAUGGGUCCGAGUUUGCAAAUGUAAAGGCCCAAAACUAUUUCCAACAAUCAAUAUUUUAAACUGCUCUAAUUCUAAUAUAUGAGAAAGAGAUCAAUGUGCAAGUAGGCAAGUACAUUGCCUUACAUCCGGUGUUUGAAAUAUCCUGGAUAUGAUCGAUAUUUCUACGAAAAUAUUAUAAACUCAGGGAACGAUAUGGAAAGAGGGGGUGAAGUUUAGACUUCACCCCAUAUCCACGAUAUUUCUGAAAAUCAGUCAAUUUCCUCGAUAUUUUCAAGAAAUAUCUAUGAGCCUAUGCAUUUUUUUAUUUUUUUUCAUUUCUUUCUUUAUGGUUUUAGUUUACUUCAAUAAAACUUGUACUGCUUUCAUGACGAAAAUUUCAAUUAAGUUAUUAUAAUUUAUUUUUUCUAGUGAAAUGCUUUAUUUUAUUACUUGUCAUUAUAAGGAAGUUUUUCUUCUCACAUAUCACAUACUUAUUGUUUACACAAUAUCUAAUCAUUAAUUCUUGAUUCAUACGUGUAUUGUGGCUUCAUAUGACAUUCCCUAAAAAAUAAAUUUAAAUUUCUAUGUUUGUGAGCAAAUUUCCAUCAUUUUCAUCAAAGACAAUCAAUAUCGAUAUACAAUAUAUUCAUUGAUAUUUUCACGAAUUUGCCUAUUGAUAUUUCCACCAAUGCCGAUAUUUUUAACAUUGCUUACAUCUACCUUUUUCCAAAUUCUUUGUGGGGUGGUUUUAUGUUGUCCCAAGUUAUCAUCCUACUUCGUGCAGUAUGGUGAUAGUGCUUGAAUUGCAAUUGUAAAUUGUUCAUUGAUUUAUUACAUGAUGAUACCAUUGUCCUAAAAAUCUCCACCUAGUAUUUGGGCUUAGCGUGGCCUAAGCCCCACCCAGGUGCUAGGCAGCUGGCCACCGCUCCAAUUAGUUCUUAAGCAUAUGAAAAUUAAGAAAGUGUGUUUGGACACGCUUAGGCGUCCGCCUAACACAUCUAGGUGUCUGCCUAAACCCGCCUAGAUUGCGACUCUCACUUAAACAAUGUCCCACUCUUCCUCAUCAGCCCAAACCGGGUCCCACCUGGGGUUGGUCAUCUCCAACGAAGUGUCCCCCCCAUAACUCCUUCAAGUCCUCCUCCCUCCAAUUCUCCGGGUCCUCUGGAAAAUCGAAAAGGUCCUCAUAAAAGACAUAGCUUUCGUCCUCCUCGUCCUGCCUUCUCCUCACUCUCUUCCCCUGGAGCACCUGAGGGAAAAGCUUCAUGUUCACCUCGGGUGUAUUAUCGGCCUCGGGAAUAUCUUUGCCGGGUCGGAUGUACUUGAGUGAAUCAUCCGCUUCACCGUUAUCUGGGCCGCCACCACCUUCAUCUCCUUCG
rnacentral:lncRNA from 1 species